UACGUAGGUGGCAAGCGUUAUCCGGAAUUACUGGGCGUAAAGGGCGCGUAGGCGGCCUCUUAAGUCGAACGUGAAAUCCCCGGGCUCAACCCGGGAACUGCGUCCGAUACUGGGAGGCUUGAAUCCGGGAGAGGGAUGUGGAAUUCCAGGUGUAGCGGUGAAAUGCGUAGAUAUCUGGAGGAACACCGGUGGCGAAGGCGGCAUCCUGGACCGGUAUUGACGCUGAGGCGCGAAAGCUAGGGGAGCAAACGGG
rnacentral:rRNA from 1 species